CCUACGGGAGGCAGCAGUGGGGAAUAUUGCACAAUGGGGGAAACCCUGAUGCAGCAACGCCGCGUGAGUGAUGAAGGCCCUCGGGUCGUAAAGCUCUGUCCUAAGGGAAGAAUACUGACGGUACCUUAGGAGGAAGCCCCGGCUAACUACGUGCCAGCAGCCGCGGUAAUACGUAGGGGGCUAGCGUUAUCCGGAAUUACUGGGCGUAAAGGCUGCGUAGGCGGACCUUCAAGUCAGAGGUGAACGGCUACGGCUCAACCGUAGUAAGCCUUUGAAACUGGAGGGGUUGAGUGCAGGAGAGGGGAGUGGAAUCUUCGGUGUAGAGGUGAUAUUGUUAGAAAUGGGGAGGGAGAAAAGUUGCGAAGCAGGUUCAAUGGACGGUAACUGAAGGUGAGGCACGAAAGAGUGGGGAGCGAACAGUAUUAUAUACCCCAGUAGUG
rnacentral:rRNA from 1 species